UUCCAUUUCGAUGCUUCUCCAAACCCACCACUAAUCAAAGCCAAUCUUGAAAUAUUCGUGUACCAAAAUCCAAAAAAAAAAAGGAUGGACAUUUCAGAAAAAUUAUCUGAGGCAAUGAAACUCAAUGAAGAAAAGAAGAACAGAGUCCAAGCUCUAAUGUACUUGGCGACAAGUGAAUGGAAGGAAUAUGAUGGCCAUUUAUUACAGAUGCAGAACUGUUUCGAGGAAUGCUUUAAUGGGCUUGAGUCAAAACAGGAGAAAUUGAAGGUGGUUCAAGAAUCAGUCAGCCAGAGCAUGACAAAACUUGAUGUAAGGAGAGUAUGGGUAGAGCAGAUGUUUAAGGAGUUAGGUAAAAAGGAAAAGUUGAUGAAAGAGCUUCUGCAGAGGAUGGAAGAGAAGGAAAUGCUGCUUGGGAAGUAUAAGGAUUUUGUCGAUGAAAAGAUAAAGGAUCUUGCUUUAAAAGAGGGACAUUUUCAGGGUCUUUUUGGGGAGCUCAGGCUGUUUCAAAAUCAGAUGGAGAGAAGGAAAAAUGAGAUUGAUGAGAAAGAGAAAAGAUUAGAGAAGCGCAAGGAAGAACUUGAAGUGAGGGAGGAGAUUUUGGAGUUAAAGUUGAAACUUGUUUCGAUUCGCGGGUGUGAUGAAGAAGAGAAGGCGGGGGAUAAUGCACCUUAUAAUCAUCCACCAUUGAAGAGAUGUGGUAACCUGGCAUGGGGCUCCGGAAAAAUUCUUGAUGCUGAUGAAGAAGUGAUGAACUUGGAAGAAGAAAGCAGCCAUCGGUCUAAAAGAAGCUGCAUAGAUGGAAAAAAUGCUGGACAGGUUACAGCUGAUGAUCUUGGUAAAUCAGGGUUGGGUGAUAUAGACGUAAAAGAAGUCAUGGCAAAGGCUUUUUGCACUCAAAAUAUCAUAGUUAUUGAUGAUUCUGACUCAGAUACUGAUUCCAAGGACAAUAUUGUUUCAAAUCCGAUUAAUAGUCCUGGGUCUUUCUAUGAUGAUAUUGAGAAGGAGAAACUAGUUAGUCGAUUUAAGUAUGGUCAAACCUGGGCUUGUUAUGAUGGAAAAGAUAUAAUACCAAGAGCUUAUGCCCAAAUCAUGACAGUUUUCCAAAGCGGUGGAAUAAUUAGGCUUGGUGUUGCUUGGCUCAAGCCUUUAUGGGGGUUUCCUGGUGAAAACAAGUGGAUCAAUGCUGGCUUACCAGUUGGCUGUGGGAUGUUUGAACGGGAGAGAACAAGUGUGGAAGCUGCAACUGUAUUCUCACAUCAAGUUUGUUGUCUUGAAAAAGUGCACAAUCGUUACUGCGUACUUCCUGGUGCAGGAGAGACUUGGGCCAUUUAUAAGGACUGGGAUAUAUUUGCCUGGGCCUGUGACCCAGAAAAUCAUAGGCAGUGUAAGUAUGAAAUUGUGGAGGUUCUUGAAUAUCAGACAAGUGGUUCUUCACUAUUUGACAUUAGAGUUGCUUGCUUGGACAAAAUGGGAGGAUCGUUAAAUUCAUUUCAGAGAAGAAGACAGGAUGAGGAUGGUUCAUUUCUGAUAAGGUCUAGUAACCUCUAUAGGUUCUCACAUAAAGUACCCUCUGUUCGGAAGGCCUGCAAUGUUCCUGGUGAUGUUUCAGAUGUUACGUUUGACAUUGAACCUGAAUCCAUGCCUCCAGGACUUUGAUGAGGUUAGCUGCAUACAUUCAGAAUAGGAUAUUCAUCUCUCUUUUCAAGAUGGAAUAGGCUUCUGUCCUGUUUCCCUUGAUUUUGAAGUAGAACAUCCAGUAGACUAAACUAUAACUAGACCAGAGAUAUCGAUGUUGACCAGUGAUUCCUCUCUUCCAAAUUGCAAAAGAUGGUCGGCAGCUGAGGAGUUUCUUGUAAAAGAUGCUAUAGGCAUCCGAAUGAAGUCUGUAAUAGGUUGCGAUAAGAUAUUCUAAAACAGUUAAGAUAUACUUGGGCUCCCCUGGUGGCUCAUAAGAAGUGUAGGUAGCUUGCAUGGGAAAAAUUUCAUGUAAACUAAAGCAAAGCAUAGAUUUCUGAAUAGCUCUCAGAUUUAUUUGAGUAGUUGAAGUUGCCUGGC